CCUACGGGAGGCAGCAGUGAGGAAUAUUGGUCAAUGGGCGGGAGCCUGAACCAGCCAAGUCGCGUGAGGGAAGACGGUCCUAUGGAUUGUAAACCUCUUUAGGCGGGGAGCAAUGCCGGGCACGUGUGCCCGGAGGGAGAGUACCCGCAGAAUAAGCAUCGGCCAACUCCGUGCCAGCAGCCGCGGUAAUGCGGAGGGUGCGAGCGUUAUCCGGAUUUUUUGGGUUUAAAGGGUGCGUAGGCGGACUUUUAAGUCAGCGGUAAAAUGUCGGGGCUCAACCCGGGCCGGCCGUUGAAACUGGGGAUCUUGAGUGGGGGAGAGGUAUGCGGAAUGCGGGGUGUAGCGGUGAAAUGCAUAGAUAUCACGAAGAACUCCGAUGGCGAAGGCAGCAUACCGGCGCCCGACUGACGCUGAGGCACGAAAGCGUGGGGAUCGAACAGGAUUAGAUACCCUUGUAGUC
rnacentral:rRNA from 1 species